UACAGAGGUCUCAAGCGUUGUUCGGAUUCAUUGGGCGUAAAGGGUGCGUAGGCGGCGCGGUAAGUCGGGUGUGAAAUCUCGGAGCUUAACUCCGAAACUGCAUUCGAUACUGCCGUGCUUGAGGACUGGAGAGGAGACUGGAAUUUACGGUGUAGCGGUGAAAUGCGUAGAUAUCGUAAGGAAGACCGAGUGGCGAAGGCGGGUCGUCUGGGCCGGACAUUGACGCUGAGGAGCGAAAGCGUGGGAGCGAACAGG
rnacentral:rRNA from 1 species